GCUUACGGCCACACCUCCCUGAGCACGGCCCGAUCUCGUCUGAUCUCGGAGCUAAGCAGGGUCGGGCCCGGUUAGUACUUGGAUGGGAGACCGCCUGGAAUACCAGGUGCUGUAAGCA
rnacentral:rRNA from 1 species